UCCUCUUAAUUGUCCUCAUCUAUGACCGUAAUGCGGUAAAAAAAACCAGACCACAUGCUGAAAGCUUUUUGGCUGAAUGGACACACAUUGUCUGAAUACGAAAAUGCAUAAAAAUUAAAUGGAAAACCCUAAACUUUCCACCGGCGGUCUACAGUGAAAACUCAGGAAAUGCCCGCUGUUGCUUACAACGUGAUGUCACUCUUGCGCAUACUAAGUCCAGCGCUUGACAAGAUCGCACAACAGAAGCAGAAGCAGCAGCAGAGAGAUAGAGCCAGAGAAAGAGACAGCACCCGUGUGUCUAUCAGCUCCAGUAGGAUGAGGAGUUUAACAACAAAAAGCCGUCUGUAAUUAUUGAUUGACAGAGUAUCAGCGGAUCCAAAAGGCUGCCGUAUUUGUUGGGGGAAACCACUUUUCAGCUACGAAAAACAAAGGAAGAGAAGAAGAAGGAAAGACACCACAGAGCAGUCGAGUCUUUUGCUGAUUGUUUUCUACGGGAGCCAUGGUGGCGGCUGUGAUCAAGUUGUAUUUAAUUGGAACUGCGCUACAGUUCCUUGCAGUCAUUUAUGGAAUAGUGGACUCCUUUGGUGGUCUCAUGUACGUCCAGGACCAUGACUACAUCCUGGAGCUGGACCACCAGACAGAGAGGCAGCUCUCAUCAAGCAACCACGAGAGGGGAUCUUCUGUGACUAAAAACAUCGGCUCCUGAGGGAAACAUCGUGGCAUUUUGGUCCCAAAUUAAGGAAAAAAUGGCAGCUGGAUGGACAUCCUGGACACUUGCAGUGGAUCAAGAGGCAGUGAGACUUUCUGAGAAUUAUACUGGUUGCAUUGCUGAGUACCCACGUCAUUGUAAUAUCCAACUUGUUGGAUGCAUUCUCCACUUUGGAAAAGCUCUGCACCAGCCAGUUUUUGAUGGAUGGAUAAUCCCACAGCAUGCUUCUGUUUGGUUUACUUUGUACCAUCUGCUGUUAAACACUGUAGCAACUGAUCUGUAUAAGAACAACUACAAAUCUGAAACAAACGUAGCAGCACUACUGAACAGGCAUUACUGGUUUGCACUGAAAAGGAGAGCGUUUUGUUUUUUUAUGUUUAAUGUCAUUGUGUUUGUUUUGAGUGUUUAAUAAAGUGAAUGAAACCA